AUUGAACGCUGGCGGCAGGCCUAACACAUGCAAGUCGAGCGGAGCUCCGGACGGGCGAGUAAUUCCUACGUAUCUGCCUGUCCUUGUGGGAUAACGUCCCGAACCGGGCCCUAAUCCCACAUCCUACCAUAUUAGCCUUGGUGGUAUUAGAUAGUUGGUGGGGUAAAGGCCUACCAAGGCGACGAUCCGUAACUGGUCUGAGAGGAUGAUCAGUCACACUGGAACGGAGACACGGUCCAGACUCCUACGGGAGGCAGCAGUGGGGAAUAUUGGACAAUGGGCGAAAGCCUGAUCCAGCCAUGCCGCGUGUGUGAAGAAGGUCUUCGGAUUGUAAAGCACUUUAAGUUGGGAGGCGUUACCAACAGAAUAAGCAACGGCUAACUACGUGCCAGCAGCCGCGGUAAUUC
rnacentral:rRNA from 1 species